CGAACGCUGGCGGCGUGCUUAACACAUGCAAGUCGAACGCGAAAGGGACUUCGGUCCUGAGUAAAGUGGCGCACGGGUGAGUAACGCGUAGAUAACCUGUCUUCAUGUCUGGAAUAAUACGCCGAAAGGGGUACUAAUACCGGAUAUUCUUGCUUUUCAUAAGUUAUGCAAGCAAAGGUGGCCUCUGCAUAUGCUACUGCAUGAAGAGGGGUCUGCGUACCAUUAGCUAGUAGGUGGGGUAAUGGCCUACCUAGGCGACGAUGGUUAGCGGGUCUGAGAGGAUGAUCCGCCACACUGGCACUGGAACACGGGCCAGACUCCUACGGGAGGCAGCAGUGAGGAAUAUUGCGCAAUGGGGGAAACCCUGACACAGCGACGCCGCGUGAGUGAGGAAGGCCUUCGGGUCGUAAAGCUCUGUCAAGAGGAAAGAAGUGUACAAUGGCUAAUACCUGUUGUAUUUGACGGUACCUCUAAAGGAAGCACCGGCUAACUCCGUGCCAGCCGCUGC
rnacentral:rRNA from 1 species